AGCUGGAAUGGCCAAAGGGAUAUUCCACACCAUGGAAUGCCAUGCUCAGGGUUCAAAUGGGUACAAUUAGCCAGAGAGGUGCUAUUGCUGAUCAGGGACAGUCUGGGCAUCAGUCAACGGGUGAAAAUGAUGAAUUUUCCUAUUGUAGAGGGACAGUACAAACUUCACUGAAUAAAGGAGUGGAGAUUUGCUGAGAAGCAACAAAGAACCUAAGCCACCUGAUACAGGUGAUAAGGCACCUUUGGCACCAGCCAGGGAAAUAAACUGCUUUAAGGAUGCCUGAGAUUCUGCUAUGGGAAACCUGGGGUUGAGCUGCCAAGUCCACAAGCAAGCCAUGUCAUCUUGGGAAUAAACAUGGGAUAACAGCAUCAUGAAAUUUGGAGGGCCACGUCUGAAUUGCAUCAGCUGUGCCUUAUAAAUGUUCAAGAACUUCAGAAACAGUUUUUUUCCAAGGAACAACAGUGAUCCCUGACUGAUCACAUGUAUGUUUCACUGUUUUCUGGUUAAACUAUAUUUAUUUGAGACGAACCUUGUAAAACUCUAAAUGCAAAUUCCUCUGUGGGAAAUUCCUGGGGUAUUAGACAUCAGUGUCAUCAUCAUUAGAAAAUGAUGGCUGCAAUGAUAUAUCCAUAAACAAGCAGUAUUUAUGAUGGCUGAGCAGGAUGAGGAAGCCUUCCUUUCCUUAGUUUUACUGCAUCCCUAAUGGACUUAGAGGUAGCCCAGAUAGAUAAGGGAUAUGUUGCAUUCCUGCUGAGGUUCCCUGCAAUAAAAACUGUGGGAAACUAUACCUUAGGUAACUCUUGAGCCCUCAGUUUUAGUGUAGUGCUAUGAAAGUUUUAAGAUAACAACAGCAAAAUAAAACCUCUUUUUUUUCUGUCUGUGGGAUGGUUAGGCAAGGGAUCAGAGGAGUACACCCCUGGACUGGGGUCCUAUCUGAUGGGAAUGUUACAUAAUCCAGAAGGGGUGAGCUGGGAAAUUUACUUUGUUGAAGUUCCCCAUGGUAAUUAGCAAAGUCCUCUCCCAGAACAAGGUUAUCGAAGCAUCGAAGUCUGACCAUCCCUCAGCCCCUCCUCUGCAGGAGGCUCCCAGCUGCCAUCAGCUGGAGCUCUACAUAGACAUGGGGCUUGUAACAGGGAACUUUCUGUGAUCCUGGCCCUCAGUCCCUGAAAUGACACACAAAAAGCUCUCACAGUUCAUCCAUAUGAGCUGUGAGAAGUGGGACUCAGUAAAGGAGGAGGGAUUGUUUUGAAUCAGUUGCUGGUUUUGUGCAGAGCUGCUCUCAGUCAGGCCAGUGCUGCAGUCAAAGUGAACAGGGAUGCAGGGAGUUCUGGCAAACCCUGUGCUCCAGACAUUUUCCAUAUCACUAAUAAUCACCACUUGUUUAUUUGUGCAGGGGCUGUAGCUGUGUCCCCAGUCCUGUCUGUCAGACUGAGCAAGCAGUUCCUAAACCAGGUCUAACUAUAACGUACUUGCACAUGCACAUAUACAAUGAGUUAUAAGUGAAGGAAAUGAAAAGCUCGAUCAGGAAAUCCUCCAUGUCAGG